GCACUGGAUAGAGUCGAACACUCGCUUCUCCCCCCUCCUGCUACCGCUCACCAGCGGCGAAUUCCGCGAAGAAGCGAGGGGCAAUGGCCAUGGCCGCCGCCUCCCCGUUCCUCCUCGUGCAGCCUUUAGCCCCCAAGCCCCAUCGCCCUUUCGGGCCUCUACACCCCUGCCUCCUCCGGGCCCGCCUCCUCCGCUGCUCGCCCAACGGCGCCGCGGCGCCGGAACCCCCUCCAAAGUCCACCCCACGCCGCGGGCGGAAGAAGGCGUCGGAGCCGGGCUCGUCGCCGCCGAAGGCGAAGGCUACGAGGCGCAAAACCAAAAAGGCGGGACAGGAGUCCGACUCGGAGGGCGAGGAGGAGCCGGCUGCGAAGCCCAAGACCCGCCGGACCAAGAAGUCCCCCGAGCAGGAGGCCAAGCAGCCGGGGGAGGAGGAGGAGCCUCAGACUGCGGCCCGCGAGGAGGACGCGGGAAACGACGGCGACGGCGUGGCGGAUUUGCCGUACGAGUGGCCGCCGCUGGUGUGCUGCUUCGGCGCGCCGCGGUGGGAGUUCGUGCCGACGGUGCGGGUGUCGGACCAGCAGAUGCACCCCGACCAGUACUCCUCCUGGCUGCACCUGCAGUGGGAGCCGCCCGAGUUCGCGCGCUCGCCCGGGAGCGCCUCGAGCAACGUGGCCAUCGCGCUCACCCGGCUCGGCGGCCGCGCCGCGGUGCUCGGCAAGGUCGGCGACGACGACUUCGGCCACGAGCUCGUGUACAGGAUGAACCGCGAGCGGGUGCAGACCCGCGCCAUCAGGUUUGACGGUGCCGCGUCCACGGCCACCGCUCGGAUGAAGGUGGCGUUCCGGGACAGGGAGGACGGCAGCGGCGGGACAAGUCUGGUGGCCGAGACGGUGAAGAGCUCUGCCGAGGACUCGCUCCACAAGGACGAGAUCCAUGCAGAUGUGUUGAAAGAGGCCAAAAUGUUGCAUUUCAAUUCAGAAGUACUGCUGACGCCGACGAUGCAAGACACACUCUUCAGAAGCAUUGAGCUAUCCAAGAAAUUUGGAAGCAAAAUAUUCUUUGAUCUCAAUUUGCCAUUGCCUUUGUGGAGGUCAAGGGACGAGACAAAAGAGUUCAUAAAUAGGGCAUGGAAGGAGGCUGAUAUCAUAGAAUUGUCAAGGGAUGAGCUGGAAUUCCUUCUCGAUCACGAGUAUUACGAAUAUAAGCGAGCCACCCCGCCUCAGUAUUAUUUGGAUGGGUUCCAUUUAACCAGGAACUGGCCACAGUACUACCACUAUACCCCUGAAGAAAUUGCUCCGAUUUGGCAUGAUGGAAUAAAGCUCUUGCUGGUGACCUACGGAACACUUCGUAUCCACUACUACACACCCAAGUUUCAUGGCUGUGUGGUUGGAACGGAGGAUGCACUCAUAACUCCAACCACAACUGACCGGACGGGUUCUGGCGAUGCUAUUGUUGCUGCUGCUAUUAGGAAGUUGACAACUUGUCCUGAGAUGUAUGAGGACCAGGAUACAUUGGAGAGGGAGCUAAGAUUUGCUGUUGCUGCUGGCAUCAUUUCACAGUGGACUAUUGGUGCCGUGCGAGGGUUUCCCACUGAAAGUGCUACCCAGAACUUGAAGGAGCAAGUAUAUGUGCCUUCUAUGUGGUGAACUGGUGAUUGGUUAACUAGUAAAUCAUUUCUGAUGAAGGAGGCAGAAAUUUAUGUUAUGAGCAUGAUUCAUAGGUGGUGCAGAAGAAGUGAACAAGGAUAAUAUUUUACCACAAGAGUUGACAGGUAUAAGGACACUUUAAUCUGCGUGUUACGCAGGCAGUGAGCCACGCUUCAUGCUGUCCAAUCAGCGGGGAACUCUUUUGUGCGAGUGUUUCCAGUCACAGAAGCACUAUUGUAGCACUUGGUGGGGAUAGGAUUGAUUGAUGUGAAACCCCCACUUCUUUUUCUCCUUUUUCUUUUUGUAUUUUCUCUUUGCAGACCGGAGAAUGCAGCACCCCGGUUCUGCUUCCUAGAAGCAUAUGUAGAAAUUUUGUAGAGUAAGCAACGCUAGGAACCUCCAGUAAUUUGUUCAUUCGCAGAAUUCGGCGCCUCUGCCGGUCAUUUCUAUCUUGAAUCUCCAUGGCGUUUCUAUUUUUUAAAA